CAGAGUUUUGUAACUCCUAAACCCUUUGUGAACUUACCGUUCUGUUGCCUCGGCGGGCCUCUGGGAUUCGUCCCACGUCCGCCGGCGGCCCCUAUAAACUCUGUUAGUUAUAAGCAAUCUGAGCGUUUUUUCAAAAAUAAAGUCA
rnacentral:misc_RNA from 1 species